UUUAGUAAGAGUGUAGGAAGAUGAAGAAAGAUGUAGAAAUCGUGUACAAAGUGUGUAUAAAGUGAGUACAAAGGGUUUACAAAUGUUGUAUAAAGGGUGUAUAAAUGGUGUACAAAGGGUGUAUAAAGGGUGUACAAAGGGUGUAGACUCAUUCUACCUCUUUUUAAAAAUUAUGUAGAAAGGCUGCAGAAGGGUGCACAAAUGAUAUAUAAAGGGGUUAGAAAGGAUAUAGAAAAGGUGUAGAAAAACUGCUGAAAAGGUUUA
rnacentral:lncRNA from 1 species